GGUCAUAUUUUUCCACAGCUUUCUUGAACUUUCUUUUUCAUUUCCAUUGUUUUUUUUUUUCUAAACCAAAAAAAAAGAUCUCUAAAAUUUAGCAUUUUGGAAACAAAGAAGAAGCUCAAGAAAGCUGUGGGAAAACAUGACAA
rfam:Arabidopsis lyrata subsp. lyrata unplaced genomic scaffold ARALYscaffold_7, whole genome shotgun sequence.